rnacentral:rRNA from 1 species
AGUUUGAUCCUGGCUCAGGACGAACGCUGGCGGCGUGCCUAACACAUGCAAGUCGAGCGAAGGAUAAUUGGUGGCGAUUUCGGUCAAAACCGAUUAAACUUAGCGGCGGACGGGUGAGUAACACGUAGGCAACCUGCCCAUGACACGGGGAUAGCUUCGGGAAACCGGAGGUAAUACCCGAUACCUUUACUUAUUGCAUGAUAAGUAAAGAAAGCGUUUAGCGGUCAUGGAUGGGCCUGCGUCCCAUUAGCUAGUUGGUGAGAUAACAGCCCACCAAGGCAACGAUGGGUAGCCGACCUGAGAGGGUGACCGGCCACACUGGAACUUAGACACGGUCCAGACUCCUACGGGAGGCAGCAGUGGGGAAUUUUGCGCAAUGGGGGAAACCCUGACGCAGCGACGCCGUGUGAGCGAAGAAGGUUUUCGGGUCGUAAAGCUCAGUCAUUGGGGAUGAAAGAGACAGUACCCAAAGAGGAAGCCCCGGCUAACUACGUGCCAGCAGCCGCGGUAAUACGUAGGGGGCGAGCGUUGUCCGGAAUUACUGGGUGUAAAGGGCGUGUAGGCGGGGAUGCAAGUUACCGGUAAAAACCCGAGGCUCAACCACGGGCUUGCCGAUAAAACUGUAUCUCUUGAGUAUAGGAGAGGGAAGUGGAAUUCCCGGAGUAGCGGUGAAAUGCGUAGAUACCGGGAGGAACACCAGUGGCGAAGGCGGCUUCCUGGCCUAUCACUGACGCUGAGGCGCGAAAGCUAGGGGAGCGAACGGGAUUAGAUACCCCGGUAGUCCUAGCCGUAAACGAUGGUCACUAGGUGUGGGUGGUGGUCAAGCCAUCCGUGCCGGAGCUAACGCAAUAAGUGACCCACCUGGGAG